CAAAAAAGCAAAUCGAGCGGACAGAUGGGAGCUUGCUCCCUGAUGUUAGCGGCGGACGGGUGAGUAACACGUGGGUAACCUGCCUGUAAGACUGGGAUAACUCCGGGAAACCGGGGCUAAUACCGGAUGCUUGUUUGAACCGCAUGGUUCAAACAUAAAAGGUGGCUUCGGCUACCACUUACAGAUGGACCCGCGGCGCAUUAGCUAGUUGGUGAGGUAACGGCUCACCAAGGCAACGAUGCGUAGCCGACCUGAGAGGGUGAUCGGCCACACUGGGACUGAGACACGGCCCAGACUCCUACGGGAGGCAGCAGUAGGGAAUCUUCCGCAAUGGACGAAAGUCUGACGGAGCAACGCCGCGUGAGUGAUGAAGGUUUUCGGAUCGUAAAGCUCUGUUGUUAGGGAAGAACAAGUACCGUUCGAAUAGGGCGGUACCUUGACGGUACCUAACCAGAAAGCCACGGCUAACUACGUGCCAGCAGCCGCGGUAAUACGUAGGUGGCAAGCGUUGUCCGGAAUUAUUGGGCGUAAAGGGCUCGCAGGCGGUUUCUUAAGUCUGAUGUGAAAGCCCCCGGCUCAACCGGGGAGGGUCAUUGGAAACUGGGGAACUUGAGUGCAGAAGAGGAGAGUGGAAUUCCACGUGUAGCGGUGAAAUGCGUAGAGAUGUGGAGGAACACCAGUGGCGAAGGCGACUCUCUGGUCUGUAACUGACGCUGAGGAGCGAAAGCGUGGGGAGCGAACAGGAUUAGAUACCCUGGUAGUCCACGCCGUAAACGAUGAGUGCUAAGUGUUAGGGGGUUUCCGCCCCUUAGUGCUGCAGCUAACGCAUUAAGCACUCCGCCUGGGGAGUACGGUCGCAAGACUGAAACUCAAAGGAAUUGACGGGGGCCCGCACAAGCGGUGGAGCAUGUGGUUUAAUUCGAAGCAACGCGAAGAACCUUACCAGGUCUUGACAUCCUCUGACAAUCCUAGAGAUAGGACGUCCCCUUCGGGGGCAGAGUGACAGGUGGUGCAUGGUUGUCGUCAGCUCGUGUCGUGAGAUGUUGGGUUAAGUCCCGCAACGAGCGCAACCCUUGAUCUUAGUUGCCAGCAUUCAGUUGGGCACUCUAAGGUGACUGCCGGUGACAAACCGGAGGAAGGUGGGGAUGACGUCAAAUCAUCAUGCCCCUUAUGACCUGGGCUACACACGUGCUACAAUGGACAGAACAAAGGGCAGCGAAACCGCGAGGUUAAGCCAAUCCCACAAAUCUGUUCUCAGUUCGGAUCGCAGUCUGCAACUCGACUGCGUGAAGCUGGAAUCGCUAGUAAUCGCGGAUCAGCAUGCCGCGGUAAUACUUCCCCGGCC
rnacentral:rRNA from 2 species